ensembl:lncRNA
CUUCAGGAAAAGAGAGGGUUGCUCUGAACAUAGAUCCUGAUACAAGACGCUGCUGAAAUGGAACACCCACAUGUGACGCAGGAUGUGAGGACCAAGCAGGGUGACCUUUGACCUACCUCAGCCUGGGCGGAUUACUAAAUGAACAAAAACCAACAAGAGCUUUCUUAAAUCUCAAUUUGAUCCUUUUUGAACUGAGAGAAUCUGACAGUUGUGAUUUGGAGUUGCCGUAAAAAAUGUGAGUGCAGUUACUGUGACACCUAUUCCCUCAUCUGGAACAUUGCUCAGAAGUCAACAGAGUUUCAAACAAUCCACAUUUCCUCUCAGUACCUUCACAGGUGUCCAUUAGCUCCAGACUUCCAUGUGAAAUGAUUUCUUAAUCCGACAUUCUCUGAGAUAUCUGGGACAUCACAAAGCUUGACUAGUAAAAGGUGAUGUAAAUACAGUCAUUAUUGGCACACAUGCUCUUUACCCUUUGGUCUCUUACAAAAGCUAUUUUAUACUUAUUUUAUUAUUUCUAAGAAUCUGUAGUGCUUUGAAAUUUGAUAAGUAUUUAGUUACACUGCAGAUAAACUCCAGUUUUACAGUUCUUGAAAAAGGAUGGGCCUGAUUCUCUAUCACAAUGAACAGAGGUCAACAAGCCUGACGAGUUUUAUGUACCGCAGAAGGAACAGAAAUUGAAAACCAUAAUGUCUGUUAAGGUAGACUGUUCUUAAUGCCAUGUUUAAUAUCAAAUCUGUAUAUAUCAUGUUCCACAGGACCAAUCCGUA